CCAGGAAGGCCCUGCAGUGUCCUGAUGAAACAAGAAAAAGAAGUGGAGAGAAGAGAGCAAAGGAGGGGAAGCAAAAGGAGAGUGGUCAUCCCUAGUGUGUUGACUUUUGCCCACAUGCUUGCAGCCUCGUGGUUACCAAAUGGUAUUUGCAUCUCCAGGGAGUAUGUGCAAUUGCUGCACAGAAAGAAGAGGAAAGGAAAGGCUUCAUUUUGGAAGGCUUUGUCUUCUUAUGAAAGAUGGGAAACUUGAGAGACAAAUCUCCAUGAAUAUUUCAGGCUGCAACAAAUACAGACAAAGGAAAGACUGCCCUUCACUUCCCCUAGUGCAUGCCCUUUAUUAGAGCCACAGUCAGAGAUCUUCAAAUGCCAGACAGAAGGUUAAGGAGGCUUCUAGUUAAAAUGCAAACUAGUUAUUACCCUGGAGGUAUUCCACAGUGAAGAGACUGAAAUCAAGCCAUGAAGAAGUUAAUCUGAAAAAAUCUUUCCACGGAAGGAUUUAUGACUUGAUCUUUGAGGAAGCAACAGCAUGAGGCUGGAUCUGGUGAUGAAAGCUUAAUGGAAGUUAUUACCCUUUCCACUCAGAUAAGAAGAUUGAAGAAGAGAAAUUGCCCCAAAUGCAGAGGCAAGAUAAGAAUCUAAGCAGAUGGCCUCUGAGCCCAACUCCCUGACCACCGCAUUCAGUUAGUUUCUAUAAGUGAGAUGAUGCUUGUCAAAGCACCGCCCAUAGCUGAGAUGCCCAGUGGAUGCUCAAUUCCUUUUCUUUCCAAAGAACUUGAUGAGCCAUACUCUGAGACACCUGGGGGAUUUUGCUAUCCCAGAAAACACAGUAAAGAUUUCUCAAGUUCCCUUUUCCCCUUGAGAGACGUGGCCCCACAGUUCCCCAUAUUUCAACCAGAGACGCGCUUGUCAAAAGAGAGGCACUCAGAUAUCAUCACUGCUGUUCCUCAGAAGCAAAUAGUGGGAAAGGUCGUUCAUCCUUGACAAGUGAAAUCACACAUGCGGUGCUUUCCGGUGAUUCUGGGCUGAUCCACACGGUUUGCUUCAUCCAAAGACAUGUGAUUGGCUGUGGUGAGCACUGAAACCAAGAGGUAAUUUUAAAUGGUAUCAUGUGUUUCUACCAGUUUUUAGUUCUUUUUCUCUUACCAGGAAAAAGGUAAAAUCAAAUAGGGGUUUGUCCUUCAGUCUGAAUCCCAGAAAGAAGGAGAAAAUACACAGGAAAGAGUUUAGCAGUCAAACAAAAUUGUUGUAAGCCACUGAGUUCCACUGGGUUGUUGUUGUUGUUGUUAUUAUCAGUAUAAGACUGACUAAUACCAUGAUAGUCAACUUCACCCAAGUUCUUAAAAGUAUUUGUUGAAAGGCUCAGAAAGAGCUGGAUUUUGAAAUUUUUCUAACCCAGUCAAAACCAGAUGAUAGUCCUUAUUUAAACAGCAUGGGAAAAUACAGGGAGGUACUGAUAAGUAUGAUAUGGUUGAAGAAGAUAAAGGUUUGGGUGAAAUCAAACUGAAAGGGAAUAUUUAAUAAGGAAUUACCCUGAAUAGAGAAAACGGAGUCAUGGUUUGCAUGUUCAUGUGUUUAUCCUCAAGCAAACAAGGAACUAGUGAUUUAAAUAAAGGCAAACAUUUUUGUAUAUUUGGAAAUCUG
rnacentral:lncRNA from 1 species